UGGGUGUUGUUGCACCAUACCAACGAUAAGCCUGUCUUCCCAUCACAUCAUGAAAGGUCAUGUUGAUGUUCAUUUAACCUCUGUCUCUCUCUUCCUCUGACUCCUCCCUUUCUCCUCUGUCUCUGUCUUCCUCUGACUCCUCCCUUUCUCCUCUGUCUCUCUCUUCCUCUGACUCCUCCCUUUCUCCUCUGUCUCUCUCUUCCUCUGACUCCUCCCUUUCUCCUCUGUCUCUCUCUUCCUCUGACUCCUCCCUUUCUCCUCUGUCUCUCUCUUCCUCUGACUCCUCCCUUUCUCCUCUGUCUCUCUCUUCCUCUGACUCCUCCCUUUCUCCUCUGUUUCUCUCUUCCUCUGACUCCUCCCUUUCUCCUCUGUCUCUCUGUCUCUCUCUCUCUCUUUCUCCUCUGUCUCUCUCUUUCUCCUCAGAUCUCCAGGCUCUAAGCGUCAGUCCACCAGCUGAACUCUCAGUCAGACUGGUGAAUGGAACCACUUCCUGUUCUGGGACAGUGGAAGUCUUCUACAGAGGAGAGUGGUCAGGUCUAUGUUUUAUGUGGUGGUGGAGCAUGAUGAUAGAGACUAAGGUUGUGUGUAGAGAGCUGGACUGUGGGAAUCCUGUAGCUGCAUCUAGAGGACCUCUGAUUGAAGAUGGAAGAGGAGGAGUCAUACUAUUGAGUUGUGAUGGAGAUGGGUCUUCUAUUGGACAGUGUGACAUCAGAGGAGGACGUGGUGUCUGUAAUGGUGAAUAUUAUCGUCAUGUGACCUGUUCAGAGUCUGUGCGGCUUGUGGAUGGAGCUGGUCUCUGCUCUGGGAGAGUGGAGGUGAAGUACAAUCAGUCCUGGGCCUCAGUGUGUGAAGCUGACUUUGACCGGCAGGAUGCAGAGGUAGUCUGUGGGGAGCUUGGCUGUGGGGCUCCUGCAGCUCUACAGGGGGGGCUCUAUGGAGGAGGUGAGGGUCAGACCUGGGAUAGAGAGUUCCAGUGUAAAGGCAA